rnacentral:rRNA from 1 species
UGGUGGAGUGAUUUGUCUGGUUAAUUCCGUUAACGAACGAGACCUCAGCCUGCUAAAUAGCCGGGCGGACCCUUCCGGGUCCGGCUCCCCGGUCUUCUUAGAGGGACUUUUGGUGUUUAGCCAAAGGAAGUUUGAGGCAAUAACA